rnacentral:misc_RNA from 1 species
UUGGCUUACACUUCCACCUCAGAGUCCA